rnacentral:rRNA from 1 species
GAUGAACGCUAGCGGGAGGCUUAAUACAUGCAAGUCGAACGGCAGCAUGGGAGAACCUAGUUUUCCUGAUGGCGAGUGGCGCACGGGUGAGUAACGCGUACACUACCUACCUUUAGCUGAGGGAAACAUACCGGAAACGGAGUAAAUACCUCAUAGUAUCGUAAGAUUAAAGCUUCGGCGGCUAGAGAUGGGUGUGCGUACUAUUAGAUUGUUGGUGAGGUAACGGCUCACCAAGUCGACGAUAGUUAGGGGGCGUGAGAGCGUGGUCCCCCACACGGGUACUGAGACACGGACCCGACUCCUACGGGAGGCAGCAGUAAGGAAUAUUGGACAAUGGGCGGAAGCCUGAUCCAGCCAUCCCGCGUGCAGGAUGACGGCCCUAUGGGUUGUAAACUGCUUUUGCGAGCAAAGAAACGCUUCCUUCUAAGGGAGCCUGACGGUAGCUCGAGAAUAAGCACCGGCUAACUCCG